UACGUAGGUGACCAGCGUUGUCCGGAUUUACUGGGCGUAAAGGGCGCGUAGGCGGCGCAACAAGUCACUUGUGAAAUCUCCGGGCUUAACCCGGAGCGGUCAAGUGAUACUGUCGUGCUAGAGUGCGGAAGGGCUACUGGAAUUCUCGGUGUAGCGGUGAAAUGCGUAGAUAUCGAGAGGAACACCUGCGGCGAAGGCGGGUAGCUGGGCCGACACUGACGCUGAUGCGCGAAAGCCCAGGGGAGCGAACGGG
rnacentral:rRNA from 1 species